GAUGAACGCUGGCGGCGUGCCUAAUACAUGCAAGUCGAGCGAACAGACGAGGAGCUUGCUCCUUUGACGUUAGCGGCGGACGGGUGAGUAACACGUGGAUAACCAACCUAUAAGACUGGGAUAACUUCGGGAAACCGGAGCUAAUACCGGAUAAUACAUUGAACCGCAGGGAUCAAUAGUGAAAGACGGUUUUGCUGUCACUUAUAGAUGGAUCCGCGCCGCAUUAGCUAGUUGGUAAGGUAACGGCUUACCAAGGCAACGAUGCGUAGCCGACCUGAGAGGGUGAUCGGCGACACUAGAACUGAGACACGGUCCAGACUCCUACGGGUGGCAGCAGUGGGGAAUCUUGCGCAAUGGGCGAAAGCCUGACGGAGCAACGCCGCGUGAGUGAUGAAGGUCUUCGGAUCGUAAAACUCUGUUGUUGGGGAAGAACAAGUGUGUAGGAAAAUAUGCACGUCUUGACGGUACCUAAUCAAAAAGCCACGGCUAACUACGUG
rnacentral:rRNA from 1 species